rnacentral:rRNA from 1 species
GACGAACGCUGGCGGCGUGCUUAACACAUGCAAGUCGAACGGAAAGGCCCUGCUUUUGUGGGGUGCUCGAGUGGCGAACGGGUGAGUAACACGUGAGUAACCUGCCCUUGACUUUGGGAUAACUUCAGGAAACUGGGGCUAAUACCGGAUAGGAGCUCCUGCUGCAUGGUGGGGGUUGGAAAGUUUCGGCGGUUGGGGAUGGACUCGCGGCUUAUCAGCUUGUUGGUGGGGUAGUGGCUUACCAAGGCUUUGACGGGUAGCCGGCCUGAGAGGGUGACCGGCCACAUUGGGACUGAGAUACGGCCCAGACUCCUACGAGAGGCAGCAGUGGGGAAUAUUGCACAAUGGGCGGAAGCCUGAUGCAGCAACGCCGCGUGCGGGAUGACGGCCUUCGGGUUGUAAACCGCUUUUGCCUGUGACGAAGCGUAAGUGACGGUAAUGGGUAAAGAAGCACCGGCUAACUACGUG